rnacentral:rRNA from 1 species
CAAUAGCGUAUAUUAAAGUUGUUGCGGUUAAAAAGCUCGUAGUUGGAUUUCUGCUGAGAACGACCGGUCCGCCCUUUGGGUGUGUAUCUGGCUCUUUCUUGGCAUCUUCUUGGUGAACGUUGCUGCACUUGACUGUGUGGAGCGCUACCCAGGACUUUUACUUUGAGGAAAUUAGAGUGUUUCAAGCAGGCAUACGCCUUGAAUACAUUAGCAUGGAAUAAUAAGAUAGGACCUCGGUUCUAUUUUGUUGGUUUCUAGAGCUGAGGUAAUGAUUAAUAGGGAUAGUUGGGGGCAUUCGUAUUUAACUGUCAGAGGUGAAAUUCUUGGAUUUACGGAAGACGAACUACUGCGAAAGCAUUUACCAAGGAUGUUUUCAUUAA